rnacentral:rRNA from 1 species
GCGGGAAACGGCAGGCUUACACUGCAAGUCGAGGGGCAGCGAGGGUGAUAGCAAUAUUACCUGUCGGCGACCGCCCUUCGGGUGCGUAACGCGUAUGCAACCUACCAUCAACAGGCCCAUAACACUGAGAAAUUGGUACUAAUACCCCAUAAUAUCUCAUGCGGCAUCGCAUGGGGUUGAAAACUCCGGUGGUUGAUGAUGGGCAUGCGUUGUAUUAGCUGGUUGGUGAGGUAACGGCUCACCAAGGCGACGAUACAUAGGGGGACUGAGAGGUUAACCCCCCACAUUGGUACUGAGACACGGACCAAACUCCUACGGGAGGCAGCAGUGAGGAAUAUUGGUCAAUGGACGCAAGUCUGAACCAGCCAUGCCGCGUGCAGGAUGACGGCUCUAUGAGUUGUAAACUGCUUUUGUACGAGGGUAAACCCCGAUACGUGUAUCGGGUUGAAAGUAUCGUACGAAUAAGGAUCGGCUAACUCCGUGCCAGCAGCCGCGGUAAUACGGAGGAUCCGAGCGUUAUCCGGAUUUAUUGGGUUUAAAGGGUGCGUAGGCGGUUUGAUAAGUUAGAGGUGAAAUGUCGGGGCUCAACCCCGAAACUGCCUCUAAUACUGUUGGACUAGAGAAUAGUUGCGGUAGGCGGAAUGUAUGGUGUAGCGGUGAAAUGCUUAGAGAUCAUACAGAACACCGAUUGCUAAUGCAGCUUACCAAACUAUAUCUUGACGUUGAGGCCCCAAAGCGUGGGUAGCAAACAUGAUUACAUACCCUGGUAUUCCAUGCAUUAAACGAUGGAUACUCCUUUGUCCGCCACACACAAUUCUGUGAACUAACCAACAGCGAUCACUUUUUCCAC